rnacentral:rRNA from 1 species
UACGUAGGUGGCAAGCGUUGUCCGGAAUUACUGGGCGUAAAGAGCGCGCAGGCGGCUGGUCAAGUCCGAUGUGAAAGCUCCCGGCUUAACUGGGAAAUUGCAUCGGAAACUGAUCGGCUUGAAGGUGGGAGAGGGUAGUGGAAUUCCCGGUGUAGUGGUGAAAUGCGUAGAUAUCGGGAGGAACACCAGUGGCGAAGGCGACUACCUGGCCCACUCGUUGACGCUGAGGCGCGAAAGC